rnacentral:misc_RNA from 1 species
AUGAACGGCAAAACUCCGGCCACGAGGACUCGUGUUGGGAAGUACGAGCUCGGUAAAACCCUCGGCGAGGGAACUUUUGCUAAGGUCAAGUUCGCGAAGAACGUUGAGAAUGGUGAUUAUGUCGCCAUUAAGAUUCUCGAUCGUGAAAAAGUUCUUCGCCACAGGAUGGUCGAACAGAUCAAAAGAGAGAUUUCGACUCUGAAAGUGAUCAAGCAUCCGAAUGUUUGUAAGAUUUAUGAGGUUA